AUUGAACGCUGGCGGCAGGCCUAACACAUGCAAGUCGAGCGGUAGAGAGGUGCUUGCAUCUCUUGAGAGCGGCGGACGGGUGAGUAAUGCCUAGGAAUCUGCCUAGUGGUGGGGGAUAACGUUCGGAAACGGACGCUAAUACCGCAUACGUCCUACGGGAGAAAGCGGGGGAUCUUCGGACCUCGCGCCAUUAGAUGAGCCUAGGUCGGAUUAGCUAGUUGGUGAGGUAAUGGGCUCACCAAGGCGACGAUCCGUAACUGGUCUGAGAGGAUGAUCAGUCACACUGGAACUGAGACACGGUCCAGACUCCUACGGGAGGCAGCAGUGGGGGAAU
rnacentral:rRNA from 1 species